UUUUCUAAUGAGAGACAGAUGGGAGUGAAGAUGGGAGGAACAAGUGCUAUAACAAGAGUGAAGAAAGAUGGAGACAGAAGGAAGAUAGAAACAAAACUGCGCAUUUUGUCAGUAAAGGCAGGAGAAGGUUGGUGGAAGAUGGAACUGUGGUGUGUGACUCGCUCGUGGGCAGUGUUUGAUCCGUGCAUCGUUUCUCCCUGGGAAGGGAGAGAGGUUUGGGGACCGAGAGGGAGUCAUCCCCUGCAGCUGCCAACUCUACGUCCCUAGGACUUCUCUCAAACUUGUGUGCUGAGGAGACUGGAUGUUGGCCUCAGCGCCUAGGCUGAAAUCAGCAGAUUGGCUCAUGAAAACUUAUGUACUGAGACAAACGAAAGGGUCUAGCAGGAAGCAACAUCUCUUAUCCUGGGCUUGGCAGCAAGAAAGAGGACGAGGAGUGGAGAUCCUGCAAUCUGAAAAGCAGACUGAAAGGUGACAGAGAAGCUGAAGAUGAGAGGUGGAGAGAGGGAUAACAUUCCAGCCCCUCAAUCUAGAAAUGUUAGUAAGAACCAACAACAGCACAACAGACAGAAGACCAAGGAUCGGAAUUCCCAGAUGAAGAUCGUUCAUAAGAAAAAAGGAAGAGGACAUGGGUACGCUCCAUUGGCAGCUGCGUGGCAGGCCAUGCAGAAUGGGGGAAACAACAAGAGCCUUUCUAACAACCCAAACUGGAAUGCUAGCUUAUCAAGACCGAGCUUGCUUUUUAAGUCUCAGGUUAACCAGAACUAUGCCGGAGACAAAUUUAGUGAACCACCAUCAUCAAGGUGUUCUCCCCAAGCCACCAAGCCACUGGGUUCCUGGUUCAUUGAACCCUUCAGAUAAGGAAAUAAUGACAUUUCAACUUAAAACCCCACUUAAAGUAUAGGUUUAAAAUCCUAAGUACUAAUUUUAAAUUCUGUGAUGUUCAUAUAUAGCCAUCAGUUGAUUUGACUUUAGGGAAUUUUUAUAGAAGUGCUAGUUUACAAGUAUAAGCAGACAUUUGAUUUAUGUCCUGUGUGCACUAUAUUAUAAUAGUGUAGGGAUAAUUUAACUAAUUCUGCUUCAUAGUUUUGCUAACUAAAUUCAAGCUUAGAUUUUGGGAACAGUAAUCAACUUUGUUGUCUAGCAGGAAAACAGGGGAGGGGGAGGGGGAAUCAGAUAAUAAGCAUUUAGCUAAGAUAUACAAAGACUCCAAAC